rnacentral:rRNA from 1 species
GACGAACGCUGGCGGCGUGCCUAAUACAUGCAAGUAGAACGAGUUGCGAACGGGUGAGUAACGCGUGGUAACCUGCCUCAUAGCAGGGGAUAACUAUUGGAAACGAUAGCUAAUACCGCAUACUGUGAGAUGUGCCCAGAUGGGAUUAGCUAGGUGGUGGGGUAACGGCUCACCAAGGCGACGAUCCAUAGCUGGUCCGAGAGGGUGACAGGCCACACUGGAACUGAGACACGUUCCAGACUCCUACGUGAGGAAGCAGUGGGGAAUUUUGCACAAUGGGCGAAAGCCUGAUGCAGCCAUGCCGCGUGAAUGAAGAAGGCCUUCGGGUUGUAAAGUACUUUCAGCGGGGAGGCGUUACCCGCAGAAGAAGCACCGGCUAACUCCGUGCCAGCAGCCGCGGUAAUAC